rnacentral:rRNA from 1 species
CCCGAAAUAUUAUGAGCUGUUUCUAGAUCGUUAAGAACCCAUUUAUUUUUGUAACAAUAAGAUAAAAAAAUCUACAAACAGAAGCUACAUACUAACCGCAUAAUAUUAUAGCUGGUUUCUUUCUAAAGUUAUAUAAGUAACAAAAAUAAAUUAUUAUUCUAUUGUAUAAAGGAAAAGCUUUAUACACCACACCAUCAUCACAUAAAUUAAAAGUGAAAAGUAAGCCUAAAAAUAGCUACCUAUAAUAAUGUCACAAUAUAAAAAAUAAAACAAUUUAUAUUCAAUGAUGAUAUAAAGAAAGAAACUUAUAAAAACAAAACCUAAAAAUAUAUAAUGUUAAGACUAGUAUUAAUACAACAAUAAAAAUAAAAAUAAAUCAUAUGAGACAAAGGAAUUAGGCAAACACUUAUUUCGGCUGUUUAUCAAAAACAUAGCCUCGUGUACAUAAAUACGAGGUACUUCCUGCCCAGUGAUUCUUUCAACGGCCGCAGUACCCUGACUGUGCAAAGGUAGCAUAAUCACUUGCCUUUUAAUUGAAGGCUAGAAUGAAUGGACCCACGAAAAUAAAGCUGUCUCUAUCUCACAAAUAUAAACUAGAAUUCAAGUGAAGAUACUUGAAUAAAAAUAAAGGACAAAAAGACCCUAUAGAGCUUCAUUCAUACAAAUAUAUAAAGAAAAAUACACUAUAUACAUUAAAACAUGAAUUUUGUUGGGGCGACAAAGGAACAUUCAAAUCUUCCUUAUAUAAACUGAAUAACAAUUCUUUACACAGAUCCUAUAAAGAUCAUAGAAAAAAGCUACCUUAGGGAUAACAGACUAAUCUCCUUAGAGAGCUCAAAUUGACAAGGAGGAUUGGCACCUCGAUGUUGGCUUAAGAUACCCUCUAAGUGCAGAAGCUUAGAAAGGUUGGUUUGUUCAACCAUUAAAAUCUUACAUGAGCUGAGUUCAGACCGGCGCAAGCCAGGUUAGUUUCUAUCCUUAUUUUAAAACUUACUAAGUAGUACGAAAGGACCCU